UCUCGUGAUCCGCCCGUCUCGGCCUCCCAGAGUGCUGGGAUUAUAGGCUUGAGCCACCACGCCCGGCUUAUGAAAGUAAUUUCAUAAGGACAUUCCCUCUUUUGUUUAUACUAAAACAAAUAAAACCCCAAAUAUUUUUUAAAAGCCAACCCCGUUGUCUUCCUGUCAUAAACGCACACAUUAAGAAAGAGUGGGCAUCUGCCUGCAGGCGCCUGCACAGAGCUCCCUCCCUCCCUCUGGUGAUGGUAGCAGUCUCUAGCUGCUCUUUCCAACUUCCAUCCUCUUUUCAUUUCUUUUGCAGAAGCUGUAAUGUCCUAGGAUUUCCUGAUAUUACUCUGUGGCUUGGCCCUCAGCAGUGUCUUCUCUGUAUCUGCCAGCUUUUAUGUCACUGGCCAGUCCCUUUGUGAGGUCAACUGUCUUUGACUCGAGAGAAAACAAGUACGACCGGCACUGCCUCCCCCAGCAGACUGUACGCAGUCACGUGCUGCCGAACGAUGUUCUGGACAGUGAUGAACCAGAUACACGACAGCGGUCUCCUAAGAUGAUCAUGGAGCUGAAAACUUCAUCAGAGCUGUCAUAGCACCACAGUGCAAUGGACUCUGGUUUUAAAAUCCAUGUACUGCAGCCUCCAUGUGCCAUGUUGAUAAAGUCUGCAGUCACGUACAGCAAUGUCCUGGGCCUUCACAUUCACUCAGCGCUUACUCACUGACUCACCCAGAGCAGCUUCCAGUCCUGCAAGCUCCGUUCAUGACACAGGAAGGUGACAUUACUGGGAGCCUCAUCGAAAACAGGUGUUAAGUACAUGCUUGACAGCAAGAAUCACAAAAGCGAAGAUGCAAGAGAAACAUGGGGACCUGACGCUGUGUGAAGAGCUUUAUGUGCAAGAUCUCAUUCGAUUAUCAAUUCCCAAUGAGGUUUUUUAACAGCAGAGAAUCAUGACCCCGGGAGAAACCAGAGAAAGGCAGAAAGUGCGAAGAGAAGACGCCAGCAGCUCCUCGAAGUGAGCAGUGCGCCUCACUGGAAGACCUAAUAUUGCUUCUAAAUCUCAAAGUGCCUUUCCUCCAGCCACCGUUUCAGGCAGCAGCUGCUGCAGAUGCAGCCAAGGCAACGGCAACUCUACCACACCACACAUUCAGGCACUCCCCGUGUGCCACGCAUUCAGGUUCACGUUGCCUCAGUUGAUAUUCACAAUAACCCUGAGAACUAAAUGUCGCUGUCCGCACUUGCCCUCAGGAACUCAAGCUGCAGUACCCAAGCGCUGCUUCUCUGCGGUGAGUUUCCAACUAUUGCUAACACUUGAGAUCAAAAAAUAGGAAGGAGCAGAAUAUACUGCAACAAUAACACAAACCUUCAUCCAUUGAAAGCGAGAACAAUUUAAACACGUAAACUAUGUCAGACCUAAACCACAGAUUCUAAAAUGGGACUUAAGAUGGAGGUUAUGAUCAAAGGAUGUAAUCAAUAAGGAGAUUAAAUGGGUACCAUCUUAUCAGUCAUGAUACUUGGCUCUACACGGACUUCUCAGGUUUUCCCUGAGUUUUGCUGUGGUGGUACACUCUUCCGGACCUGUCAGCUGCAAUCUAGCACACAUGGAGGUUCAAAGAGCCUAACUGGUGCUGUUCUAUGAAGGAAAUUGCAGGUGCAGGUAUAAACUAGCGUCAGUGAAAAUGAUACAUAAUUGUCCCUCCAACAUGAUUUGGAUCAGGUCUAAAGCCUUCCAUAGUCCCAAUUACCCUAUUAGUCCAAAAGCCCCUUUAGUCCAAAAGCCCUGCCUGUAGCUUUCAGGUUACAACCUCUUUUUGCUGGUUCAUUCUGCUUGCAUCUUCCACUACUGGUUUCUCUCUGAAGCCCAGACUUUCAAGAUAUACUUGUAAGAAAAGAGUCCUCGACUUUAUAGCAGAAACUUGUAUGACCUCUGUAUUUGCUUCUAGGAAUCCUGUUCUCCCCUGUUGCUUUCUCUUUUGCACUUGUCCUGUAAUUCUUCUGGAAAUCUCUUUUUAUUCCAGUCCCAGAAGCCUGCAUGCUCUUCAUAAUGCUAUUUGCCCAUCAUUACAAUUGUACUUAAGCACAUGGGUCCUAUUAGCUUUGUGUCACCUGCUUUAGAGAGAUGCUUACCACACAUCAGCACAUCACAGGCAAUCACAAUCUGGAUCCCUAGAAACUCCUCCAUCCAUUGUCUUCCAAGAAAUCACUGGAAAUAUUAAAGUCCUCCAUUUUCAUUUUAAAAUCCCUUAGCCCUCUCUGGGGUGGUGGUCUUGAAUCAAUAAACACAUUAAAGAGAAAACGAUUUUGCUGUAAAAUAUUACACUCGAUUUCAAAGAACAUAUUUGGCCUUGGUAGAUGGAUGGGCUUCCGAGGAGAAGUAGAGAUUGAGACCAUUGGUGCUUGGUUCAGCUGAGUAAUUGAACCAAAGGACACCUCACAGAGACAGACAGAGCUGGGAACAUUUUCAGUGCCAAGGUGAGGGUGCAGUGAGGGGAACGGGCCUCCCUGCUGCUCAUUCAUUAGCAUGAAGUCAUCUAAGAGCGGCUCUCUACUGGAUGCUGCUGGUACAGCAAAAUGCCAGGUGUAUACACCCCAAAGAUCAUGGUCCCACAGGAAAGAGUGCCCGUGCUUUCGGUGGUCACGGUGGGAAUGGUGGGCGAAGCUGCUGGGGCUGAAAUUUGGGUGUGGGGUCACCACCCCCUACCCAUCCAUCAGCUCUCGCUCAGUGACUUAGUGAUGCUUUGCCUCCUCUGUGCCAGGUGCUAAAGAGAUGACAGUGAGCAAAGUCAGGCACUGGCCCUGCCUUCAAAGAGCUCACAGCCUGGAAUUCUCUUAUGAGGUUAGAAAUCCAAAGGGAAUUCAUCUAAAGAGGGCACUCACUUUAGGAGAAAGUCCAAAAGAUCAAGCACUAACCUUUAAUAAAGCCCAAGUCCCAGGUUAUAGCCGAAAACUACCUCCAAGCUCCCCCCGUCCAUUUCAACACUGUCAGCAUUCCCCAACGCCAAAGAGGACUGAAUUUAGAGAUCUCUUCCUCUGGAGUUCUGUAGAAUUUUCAUUCCUGCUUAUGCUGUCUCUAGCAUAAUCUUUUAUCUCCUCCCACUCCAUCCUUGCAAUCUACUUCUUUCAUAGUAUGUGAACUAGAGUUGAUGGCAGGAAUUUUGAGUUGGAUUAAAAUAGGCAUGGUCCUUUAACAUUUUAAAAAUAACUUUUGAGAUGGAUUUGGAUCUCAGCAUUAUCAUGUUCCAAAAAUCAUAAAGGAAAUUUCAUAAGAUAAAUUUAUCUUUGAGUUUCGCUACUUGCCAAUUUCACUAAACAUUUGGAAGGCUGGCUGGGCUUCAUUUUAUAUUGGGCUUUUGGAGACUCUGUAGCUGUAGUUAGGCUGUAUUUUAACACAGGGCUAAGGAUUCAGAUCACAAAGCCCAAACAUGUGGAGCUCAAUUUAAGGCUCAAUGUAUAAUCCUGACAACAUUCCACUCUGUUUUCGUCUCAACUUGCACAUUAUCAGGCCUUGUAGAUCGUUUCAGGGCCUCUGGUUGAAAAGAAAAGGGCAAGUAGCCAGAUAUGCACACACAUUCCAAACAAAAGGUAUAAUGAGGAGACCAACACACCUGAGGUAAAUAUGUAAUUAUUUGUCUGCAAAAUGUGUCUUAAAUAAAAGGAAACACUCCUCCUUGGAAAUUCCUUAGAGUUGAAAAUUUAAAGGUGACUCAAAAGCAAAGGAGAUGUCAUUUAGCAGAUCGGUUCUUAACGAUUUCCUUAGAGGACUGUGUAUCACAAUGGCACUAUUGGAAAAGGUAGUGGCAUACCUUUUAAUAUGCGGUGCUAUAAGUGCUAUGCAUAAAAUAAGAAGCAAUGUGUAGGCAGUAGCAAUUAAAUUGCUUAUGCACUCAAACAUUUGCCUUGAAGUAUAAUAAAACUGAGCAUGAAAUGAAAGGUUCAUGCAGGCCUAUGAGCAAAACCAAAACAGAAACC